rnacentral:rRNA from 1 species
GACGAACGCUGGCGGCGUGCUUAACACAUGCAAGUCGAACGCUGAACCCGCUUCGGUGGGGAUGAGUGGCGAACGGGUGAGGAACACGUGGGCAACCUGCCCCCGGCUCUGGGAUAACUCCAAGAAAUUGGGGCUAAUACCGGAUGUGACCGCUGGCCGCACGGUCUGGUGGUGGAAAGGGUUUCCGGCUGGGGAUGGGCCCGCGGCCUAUCAGCUUGUUGGUGGGGUAGUGGCCUACCAAGGCGACGACGGGUAGCCGGCCUGAGAGGGUGACCGGCCACACUGGGACUGAGACACGGCCCAGACUCCUACGGGAGGCAGCAGUGGGGAAUAUUGCGCAAUGGGCGGAAGCCUGACGCAGCGACGCCGCGUGGGGGAUGACGGCCUUCGGGUUGUAAACCUCUUUCAGCAGGGACGAAGCGCAAGUGACGGUACCUGCAGAAGAAGCACCGGCCAACUACGUG